rnacentral:rRNA from 1 species
CUCUACGGCCAUACCACCCUGAAUGCACCUGAGCUCGUCUGAUCUCGGAAGAUAAGCAGGGUCGGGCCUGGUUAGUACUUGGAUGGGAAUUUUUUUUUAUUUUUUAUGAUGAAUAAU